GUGCCAGCCGCCGCGGUAACACGUAGGGGGCGAGCGUUGUCCGGAAUUACUGGGCGUAAAGGGCGCGUAGGCGGUUAGUCGUGUCAGGUGUGAAAUGCCGGGGCUCAACCCUGGAUAUGCACUUGAAACUGGCUAACUUGAGGGCAGGAGAGGCAGGCGGAAUUCCUGGUGUAGCGGUGAAAUGCGUAGAUAUCAGGAGGAACACCAGUGGCGAAGGCGGUCUGCUGGACUGGCCCUGACGCUGAGGCGCGAAAGCGUGGGGAGCGAACAGGAUUAGAUACCCUGGUAGUCCACGCUGUAAACGAUGGGUACUAGGUGUAGGGGGUGAUAUACCCUUUGUGCCGCAGCGAACGCGAUAAGUACCCCGCCUGGGGAGUACGGCCGCAAGGUUGAAACUCAAAGGAAUUGACGGGG
rnacentral:rRNA from 1 species